GAUGAACGCUGGCGGCGUGCCUAAUACAUGCAAGUCGAACGGACGGGCGCGAAGCUUGCGUCUCGGAUGUUUGCGGCACACGUGUGAGUAACGCGUGGAUCACGUACCUGUAAGACUGAGAUAACUUCGAAACACCGUAGCAAAUACGAUAUAAUCUUUUGCUCCGCAUGGUGGAAAAGAGAGAGACGGUCUUGCUGCAACGUAUAGAUGGAUCUGCGCUGCAUUGGCUGGUUGGUAAGGUAACGGCUUUUCAAGGCUACGAUGCCUGGCAGAAGUGAGGGGGUGAUCGGCCACACUGGAAGUGAGACACGGUCCAGAGUCCUACGGGAGGCAGCAGUAGGGAAUCGUCCGCAAUGGGCGAAAGCCUGACGGAGCAACGCCGCGUGAGUGAUGAAGGUCUUCGGAUCGGAAAACUCUGUUAUUAGGUAAGAACAUAUUUGUAAGUAACUGUGCACAUCUUGACGGUACCUAAUCAGAAAGCCACGGCUAACUACGUG
rnacentral:rRNA from 1 species